GAAAACGAUUUCCAAUUUUAACAGAAGGUGUUACGAAAAUUAGUAAAAAGCGCAAGACUAACAGAGUUUUGGACAGGUCUCUAUGGUAGAAAACCAGCAAAGAAGCCCUUCAAUUCUGCAAACUAUAGAACAGUGAAACUACCUUUUGCAAGACAACAUGUGAACUGGUCAGAUGGGCAAUGGAAAACAAUUUUCCAAUGAAAGUCGACUCCGAUUAUUUAAAUCUGAUGGCAUUUCAUAGGUGAGAGGACCAAUUAAUGAAAGAUUUCGCAUGGGCCCACUGGUUAUGUUAGACGAGAUAAUAGAUCGUUUAGUUUACCAUGACAUUCUGUAAAAUCAUAUGCUUCCAUUGGCUGAAGGUAACAUGAGUUUAACCAUGAACCUUCCAGCACGACAACGAUCCGAAACACACGUCUAAAUUAGUUAAAGAAUGGUUCGCUUCUUAAGGAGUACGUGUUAUGCCUUGGCCAGCACAAAACCCAGACAUCAAUCUAAUGGAAAAAUUUUGUGAAAAAUUGAUCUAUACAAAAAGAGCUACUAAAAUCAAUGAAGAAAAGGUGUUUGGAAAUUAUUAGAAAAAAUUGGCAUGCUACUAGAUAUUAAAUAAAAGAAGGCUAAA